CCACACUGGGACUGAGACACGGCCCAGACUCCUACGGGAGGCAGCAGUGGGGAAUAUUGGACAAUGGGCGGAAGCCUGAUCCAGCAACGCCGCGUGAGGGAUGACGGCCUUCGGGUUGUAAACCUCUUUCAGCAGGGACGAAGCGCAAGUGACGGUACCUGCAGAAGAAGCACCGGCCAACUACGUGCCAGCAGCCGCGGUAAUACGUAGGGUGCGAGCGUUGUCCGGAAUUAUUGGGCGUAAAGGGCUCGUAGGCGGUUUGUCACGUCGGGAGUGAAAACUCGGGGCUUAACCCCGAGCCUGCUUCCGAUACGGGCAGACUAGAGGUAUGCAGGGGAGAACGGAAUUCCUGGUGUAGCGGUGAAAUGCGCAGAUAUCAGGAGGAACACCGGUGGCGAAGGCGGUUCUCUGGGCAUGAUCUGACGCUGAGGAGCGAAAGCAUGGGGAGCGAACAGGAUUAGAUACCCUGGUAGUCCAUGCCGUAAACGUUGGGCGCUAGAUGUAGGGACCUUUCCACGGUUUCUGUGUCGUAGCUAACGCAUUAAGCGCCCCGCCUGGGGAGUACGGCCGCAAGGCU
rnacentral:rRNA from 1 species